GGCACCGCUGGCCUGUUUACCGAGCUGUGCAGGCGAGCGCCGGCGCCCUCUACUGGACGGAAGUAAAUGUCCCUCUGAGUGUAACUAUUGUCGCCUGUGGAUGAGCUAAUGGAUUCACUUUGAGCUCGUAGAAAGGACACGGUGUCGUGGGGAUCCCAGGCAGUCCUCUGACAUCUGACAUACCGCCAGCUUGCCUAAGGAUGUUAUUUCUUUGAGGGGGGGAUUUGCUCACCCAGGAGGAGAUUUGAUGGUACUUACGGACUGGGGCUUCACUCCGCAUCUGCCUCUCCGUGAGAGCCUGUCUCCCCAGGCUGGCUGGUCCUCAGGACACAGGUGCUGCUGUUGUGGCUGCGUGCAUCCUAUGUGUGGCGACUCCACCUUCCAGCUAAAAUCCCAGCAAAGGGUCUCAUCCGGAGGCCCCGGGGCACACUUCUUUCAUCCGUGUGCCUUCCCUCGUUCUCUCGGGGUCCAGAGCAGCGAGGAAGGAAUGAAGAACCUGGGUCUGCCACCGUCUGUCGGUCCUCACCGCUGCAUCUCAGCUAAGGCUGCAGAAGUCAGUGCAGUAGCGGAACUGGCUAGGGCUCCUCGCGGUUGCCACGGUAACCAGGAGCAGGCUCCUGCCCUGGUGGCGGAGGAAGGCUGUGGAGAAAAGAGUUUGGCACACAGGAUCCAUCCCUACUUGAGACCUUGAUGAGCACUGGAUGAGUUGCCAGUGUGACUUCGGCACUGACAGGAUUGGCG
rnacentral:lncRNA from 1 species